AUUGAACGCUGGCGGAAUGCUUUACACAUGCAAGUCGAACGGUAGAGGGGGCAACCCCUCGAGAGUGGCGAACGGGUGAGUAAUAUAUCGGAACGUGCCCAGUCGUGGGGGAUAACGUAGCGAAAGUUACGCUAAUACCGCAUACGAUCUACGGAUGAAAGCGGGGGAUCGCAAGACCUCGCGCGAUUGGAGCGGCCGAUAUCAGAUUAGGUAGUUGGUGGGGUAAAGGCUCACCAAGCCAACGAUCUGUAGCUGGUCUGAGAGGACGACCAGCCACACUGGAACUGAGACACGGUCCAGACUCCUACGGGGGCAGCAGUGGGGAAUUUUGGACAAUGGACGCAAGCCUGAUCCAGCCAUUCCGCGUGCAGGAUGAAGGCCCUCGGGUUGUAAGCUGCUUUUGUACGGAACGAAAAGGUUUCCAUUAAUACUGGGAGCUCAUGACGGUACCGUAAGAAUAAGCACCGGCUAACUACGUGCCAGCAGCCGCCGUAA
rnacentral:rRNA from 1 species